AUUGAACGCUGGCGACAGGCCUAACACAUGCAAGUCGAGCGGAUGAAGGGAGCUUGCUCCUGGAUUCAGCGGCGGACGGGUGAGUAAUGCCUAGGAAUCUGCCUGGUAGUGGGGGAUAACGUCCGGAAACGGGCGCUAAUACCGCAUACGUCCUGAGGGAGAAAGUGGGGGAUCUUCGGACCUCACGCUAUCAGACGAGCCUAGGUCGGAUUAGCUAGUUGGUGGGGUAAAGGCCUACCAAGGCGACGAUCCGUAACUGGUCUGAGAGGAUGAUCAGUCACACUGGAACUGAGACACGGUCCAGACUCCUACGGGAGGCAGCAGUGGGGAAUAUUGGACAAUGGGCGAAAGCCUGAUCCAGCCAUGCCGCGUGUGUGAAGAAGGUCUUCGGAUUGUAAAGCACUUUAAGUUGGGAGGAAGGGCAGUAAGUUAAUACCUUGCUGUUUUGACGUUACCAACAGAAUAAGCACCGGCUAACUUCGUG
rnacentral:rRNA from 1 species